rnacentral:rRNA from 1 species
UGAGGAAUAUUGGUCAAUGGGCGAGAGCCUGAACCAGCCAAGUAGCGUGCAGGAAGACGGCCCUAUGGGUUGUAAACUGCUUUUAUGUGGGGAUAAAGUGCGUGACGUGUCAUGCAUUGCAGGUACCACAUGAAUAAGGACCGGCUAAUUCCGUGCCAGCAGCCGCGGUAAUACGGAAGGUCCGGGCGUUAUCCGGAUUUAUUGGGUUUAAAGGGAGCGUAGGCCGUUUGGUAAGCGUGUUGUGAAAUGUAGGAGCUCAACUUCUAGAUUGCAGCGCGAACUGUCAGACUUGAGUGCGCACAACGUAGGCGGAAUUCAUGGUGUAGCGGUGAAAUGCUUAGAUAUCAUGAAGAACUCCGAUUGCGAAGGCAGCUUACGGGAGCGCAACUGACGCUGAAGCUCGAAGGUGCGGGUAUCGAACAGG